rnacentral:rRNA from 1 species
AGUGAACGCUGGCGGUAGGCCUAACACAUGCAAGUCGAACGGCAGCACAGUAAGAGCUUGCUCUUACGGGUGGCGAGUGGCGGACGGGUGAGGAAUACAUCGGAAUCUACUUUUUCGUGGGGGAUAACGUAGGGAAACUUACGCUAAUACCGCAUACGACCUACGGGUGAAAGCAGGGGAUCUUCGGACCUUGCGCGAUUGAAUGAGCCGAUGUCGGAUUAGCUAGUUGGCGGGGUAAAGGCCCACCAAGGCGACGAUCCGUAGCUGGUCUGAGAGGAUGAUCAGCCAAACUGGAACUGAGACACGGUCCAGACUACUACGGGAGGCAGCAGUGGGGAAUAUUGGACAAUGGGCGCAAGCCUGAUCCAGCAAUACCGCGUGGGUGAAGAAGGACUUCGGGUUGUAAAGCCCUUUUGUUGGGAAAGAAAAGCAGCAGGUUAAUACCCCGCUGUUCUGACGGUACCCAAAGAAUAAGCACCGGCUAACUUCGUG